GAUGAACGCUGGCGGCGUGCCUAAUACAUGCAAGUCGAGCGAACAGACGAGGAGCUUGCUUCUCUGAUGUUAGCGGCGGACGGGUGAGUAACACGUGGAUAACCUACCUAUAAGACUGGGAUAACUUCGGGAAACCGUAGCUAAUACCGGAUAAUAUUUUGAACCGCAUGGUUCAAAAGUGAAAGACGGUCUUGCUGUCACUUAUAGAUGGAUCCGCGCUGCAUUAGCUAGUUGGUAAGGUAACGGCUUACCAAGGCAACGAUGCAUAGCCGACCUGAGAGGGUGAUCGGCCACACUGGAACUGAGACACGGUCCAGACUCCUACGGGAGGCAGCAGUAGGGAAUCUUCCGCAAUGGGCGAAAGCCUGACGGAGCAACGCCGCGUGAGUGAUGAAGGUCUUCGGAUCGUAAAACUCUGUUAUUAGGGAAGAACAUAUGUGUAAGUAACUGUGCACAUCUUGACGGUACCUAAUCAGAAAGCCACGGCUAACUACGUG
rnacentral:rRNA from 1 species